rnacentral:misc_RNA from 1 species
UUGUGCCGUAAAUGACUAUUGCUUUACAGCAUUAGUUAAAGCAAUGAAAUUUUCAUGCAUGCAAGCAUGACAGAUUUGCAGUAUUCUACCUUACUGGUCAUCGUAAGAAAGCUUUUAUAGCUAACACACUAUGGACAUGAGGGGUUAAUGGAAUAGCUGUAAC